UGUUUUUGUGUGGUUGUGAAUUAUGGUUCUCUCUAGGGAUUUUUCAUAGUAAUCAAUGAUCUCUGAUUUGGAAUUGAGCCCUUUUGGAGGAGUAUCCAGUAGCGCUACUUCUUGUAGAUAAAGAAAUACUGGAAAUUGAAGAAGAAAAUCUGAAAAUGUUGUUAUUGGAGAAUAAAAAAGAGCUGAUUGUAUAGGGACUGUUGUAAUUUUUCUUGGAUGUUUGAAAUUUGGUGGCUAUUGAAAAGGAAAAAUAUAUAUCGACUGGGGUUAACUGAAGUGCAGGUGAUAAUUUGAGGUUUAUGUCCAUGGAAGUAGAUGCUGAGGUUUAUUUUUAAUCUUUUGCACACGGGUCCUUUUCAGUUAGCUCAAUAGCACCUUGACUUCUUACAUAAUGUAAAUUAUUCCAUCAGGUGAUUACCAACAAAAUAAAGAAGAAUACUUAAUUAGAGAUGUUACAGUAUCAUUGAGCAUAUUGUUUGACUUGAAUUUCAUGACAGAUCGUUGGAGUAACUGGUUUUGUUUUGACAAAGCUUGAUGGUUUUUGCGAGUGGUAGCUGUGUGGUAUGCGUGUUUUUUGUACAACUCUCCUUGGUUCACAUAUUUGAUACUCUGUACAGGUUGCCAUAUAUUUCUGCAUACACAAUCACCUUUUAGUAUUUCAUGUUAAGAAUAUUAAAUAUAUAAAAUAGAUAUUGCUUACAUGUAUAGGUGAAAAUUGUAUGACCACAUGUUUGUUAACAUUUUAUAGGGGUUUGGAUGUGUUUGUUGUGUUCCCUGUGUUUGUACAGGUUGCCAAAGUUAUUUCAUGAUUAUGCUUUUAAAAGAGUUCCCUUCAUUUGACGGGUUCAGUUUCAAUUAGUAUUUAGCCAUAUUUUGGAUCUAUAAUUAACUAAAACAUAUCUUCCUGUGUAGCUCUUUUCUUCUGAUCUUAUGUCUCAAUUAUUUUGUGAAGGACUCACAAAUGAAGUCGGGAAGCAGGCAACUUCAUCCGCUGUUCCUGCAAUGCGUGGAAAUGAGUCUUCCACUCCAGCUGCAGGAGGAAUGGCUAAUGCCGGAUCUAGGGAGAGUAUGCAAUCGCAGCUUUGAAUAAAGUAAAGCAAAUAAUUGAGUAGCUAAUGUGGAAUUUGGUAUCUGACAAAAAAUUAUCAGUUGAUUUGCAAGCCAGAAAUUCACAUAUUUAGACAGAUUAAUACACUUCUAGAAUACUGAAACAUAAAUGAGAUUGAUGUAUUCCAUUACAAAAGAUUAUUAAUCCAUAUGAGAAUUCAGAAUUGAAAUACUGAGAGCAGUUGAUUAUUAUCUGUGUUUGAUAUUUCAUUUUUCUGCAAUAUUUAUAACAUUUAAAUGUUGUAAGCUAUAUAACUUCUUGUUUUUGUGGAAUGUAAUUGACAUUAAGGAACUCAAUUAGGCAAUUGUGACCAACUUAUUAUCUGAAAAGCAAGCCAAUCCAAAGAUAAAAUUAAUUUCUAAUGAAUCACACAACACCAUUACGAAAUACGGAUGUAAUUUAGAAACUAACAUGCAUGUCUUUAAAACAAAAAUAGCUCAACUAUACUAAGCAGUUCCAACUGCUUACUAUGGAAGACAGUACUACAAAUGGUGAUUUUUUGAGUGUAAUGUUUUGUUUUCCUGACAAACUCAGGGUUUCUAUUUAUAUUGCUGUUGCGAUUACUACUUGCUUCAUUAGCUGAUGAUCUUGGCCUUAGUCUUUUGGGAGACGUAACACCACCAGGUGCCAGAAUAGUAGGUGCAGAAGAUUUGUCUCUGGAUGAUACUGCCAUUCGAGGUGCAUGUUUCAUGGAUUCCAGUUCAUUUGACAUUAGGGAGUUGAUUGUCCCAGUGGUUCCAACUUUGAUGGACCCUCCACCACCUUUGAUGGACUCCAAUCUCUAUCAGAGUUCUG
rnacentral:lncRNA from 1 species